rnacentral:misc_RNA from 1 species
GAUGAAGAACGUAGCGAAAUGCGAUACGUAAUGUGAAUUGCAGAAUUCAGUGAAUCAUCGAGUCUUUGAACGCACAUUGCGCCCCCUGGUAUUCCGGGGGGCAUGCCUGUCCGAGCGUCAUUGCUGCCCUCAAGCACGGCUUGUGUGUUGGGCCUCCGCCCCCCGGCUCCCGGGGGGCGGGCCCGAAAGGCAGCGGCGGCACCGCGUCCGGUCCUCGAGCGUAUGGGGCUUCGUCACCCGCUCCGUAGGCCCGGCCGGCGCCCGCCGGCGACCCCCCUCAAUCUUUCCAGGUCGACCUCGGAUCAGGUAGGGAUACCCGCUGAACUUAAGCAUAUCAAUAAGCGGAGGA